AAACGAUGAAUACUCGCUGUUAGCGAUAUACAGUUAGCGGCUAAGCGAAAGCGUUAAGUAUUCCACCUGGGGAGUACGCCCGCAAGGGUGAAACUCAAAGGAAUUGACGGGGGCCCGCACAAGCGGAGGAGCAUGUGGUUUAAUUCGAUGAUACGCGAGGAACCUUACCCGGGCUUGAAAGUUAGUGAAUCAUUUAGAGAUAGAUGAGUGAGCAAUCACACGAAACUAGGUGCUGCAUGGCUGUCGUCAG
rnacentral:rRNA from 1 species